CUAGAAUAUGUAGUGUAGCGGUGAAAUGCUUAGAGAUUACAUGGAAUACCAAUUGCGAAGGCAGGUUACUAAUAAUAUAUUGACGCUGAUGGACGAAAGCGUGGGUAGCGAACAGGAUUAGAUACCCUGGUAGUCCACGCCGUAAACGAUGGAUACUAGCUGUUCGGAAGCAAUUCUGAGUGGCUAAGCGAAAGUGAUAAGUAUCCCACCUGGGGAGUACGAACGCAAGUUUGAAACUCAAAGGAAUUGACGGGGGCCCGCACAAGCGGUGGAGCAUGUGGUUUAAUUCGAUGAUACGCGAGGAACCUUACCAGGGCUUAAAUGUAGAGUGACAGAUCUGGAAACAGAUUUUUCUUCGGACACUUUACAAGGUGCUGCAUGGUUGUCGUCAGCUCGUGCCGUGAGGUGUCAGGUUAAGUCCUAUAACGAGCGCAACCCCUGUUGUUAGUUGCCAGCGAGUAAUGUCGGGAACUCUAACAAGACUGCCGGUGCAAACCGUGAGGAAGGUGGGGGUGACGUCAAAUCAUCACGGCCCUUACGUCCUGGGCUACACACGUGCUACAAUGGCCGGUACAGAGAGCAGCCACUAGGUGACUAGGAGCGAAUCUACAAAGCCGGUCACAGUUCGGAUUGGAGUCUGCAACUCGACUCCAUGAAGCUGGAAUCGCUAGUAAUCGGAUAUCAGCCAUGAUCCGGUGAAUACGUUCCCGGGCCUUGUACACACCGCCC
rnacentral:rRNA from 1 species